GACGAACGCUGGCGGCGUGCUUAACACAUGCAAGUCGAACGGAAAGGCCCUGCUUUUGUGGGGUGCUCGAGUGGCGAACGGGUGAGUAACACGCGAGUAACCUGCCCUUGACUGUGGGAUAACUUCAGGAAACUGGGGCUAAUACCGGAUAGGAGCUCCUGCUGCACGGUGGGGGUUGGAAAGUUUCGGCGGUGGGGGAUGGACUCGCGGCUUAUCAGCUUGUUGGUGGGGUAGUGGCUUACCAAGGCUUUGACGGGUAGCCGGCCUGAGAGGGUGGCCGGCCACAUUGGGACUGAGAUACGGCCCAGACUCCUACGGGAGGCAGCAGUGGGGAAUAUUGCACAAUGGGCGGAAGCCUGAUGCAGCAACGCCGCGUGCGGGAUGACGGCCUUCGGGUUGUAAACCGCUUUCGCCUGUGACGAAGCGUGAGUGACGGUAAUGGGUAAAGAAGCACCGGCUAACUACGUG
rnacentral:rRNA from 1 species